GUGGUAAUACUUAGAAAUUUUCCUUACUACUUGUAGGUUAAUAUUAAUGUUGAUCAUGCUUUCCUUUGUGCUUGUAGAAAAUUUUGAAAGAGGAAGUGCUCGACCUCGGACAUGGCUUCUAUCUUGGUAGCCACCUCAACGGCUGGGAAGAAGCAUUUCAAGCUCUCAUCUACAACUGCAAAGCAUGUGAAUGAUAAAAUGAAGAAGGUCAGCAAGGAAACCGUCAACCGUAAUAGUGAUGGACGAUAACUUCCAAAGGAUAAAGGAAAUAAUAGUGGAAGAGGUUUCCAAGAAAAGUUCACACUCGCCUAUAUCGAGGAAAGAUGAGGUCUACAGUCAAUCUCCCCUCGAUCUAAAGUCUCUAUAGGGAAGAAAUUGAUGGCAACCUACAAUGCUGCAAUAGGGGAUAGAAGAGGCCAUUGUUGGUAGUGCCUCCAAGGCAAGAGUCUACAAAAAAGAGGAGGGUGUUGA
rnacentral:lncRNA from 1 species